rnacentral:rRNA from 1 species
UACGUAGGAGGCAAGCGUUGUCCGGAUUUACUGGGCGUAAAGCGCGCGCAGGCGGCAGUGCAAGUAAGGUGUGAAAUCUCCCUGCUCAACGGGGAGGGUGCAUUUUAGACUGCACAGCUAGAGGUCGGUAGAGGGGGUGGAAUUGCUGGUGGUAGCGGUGAAAUGGCGUAGAGAUCAGCAGGAACACCCGUGGCGAAGGCGGCCCCUGG